rnacentral:rRNA from 1 species
CCCUUAGAUGUUCUGGGCCGCACGCGCGCUACACUGACGAUGGCAACGGGUUUUUCCUUCGCCGAAAGGUGUGGGUAAUCUUUUGAAACAUCGUCGUGCUGGGGAUAGAUCAUUGCAAUUUUUGAUCUUGAACGAGGAAUUCCUAGUAAGCGCGAGUCAUCAGCUCGCGUUGAUUACGUCCCUGCCCUUUGUACACACCGCCCGUCGCUACUACCGAUUGAGUGAUCCGGUGAAUAAUUCGGACUGCGGCAUUGACCGGUUCCCGAUCGUUGCUGCGGAAAGUUUAGUGAACCUUAUCACUUAGAGGAAGGAGAAGUCGUAACA